rnacentral:lncRNA from 1 species
GGAUCAUCGCUCACUGCAGCCUUGACUUCCUGGGCUCAGGUAAUCCUCCCACCUCAGACUCCUGAGUAGCUGGAAUUACAGGCAUGCACCACCAGCCCAGCUGAAAAAAAAAAAGAAAAGAAAAAAAAUCUGUAGAGACAGGUUCUCACUAUGUUACCCAUGCUGAUCUUGAGCUCUGGGCUCAAGUGAUCCUUCUGCCUCAGCCUCCCAAAGUGCUGGGAUUACAGGCGUGAGCCACAAUGCCUGGCCUUCGUUUAACAUUUUUAUGAUUCCCUUAAUCAUCAUCAAUGACAAGACCUCUGAACGAUAGCACAGUAAGGGGUGGAGUACAUGGCGACGUUCACCCCAGCAGUCAUACACAGCAGCCCAGGGAUUUGGAAGAAGUUGCCCUGUUAACAUAAAGGAGAUUUGUUACUGGAUUCUGAGCUGGGAGGAGCUGGGUACCUCUUAGCACCCACAGCCCGGGUAUUAAUUAGGGCAUGAGAACUAAGGGCAGAGAUAGUAUCUACCAAGGCAGGAAGCUGGGAGGAUGGCUGGGGCCACAGCCAUGUUGGAUGGGAGACACUGAAUCAACAACAGGCUGUGCUGUUGGGUGGAGGUCAAGAGCAACUUCUUGGGGAGACUGGAAAGAGAGAAAGUAGGGACGUCAAAGGUGGAUGACUUUAGCUUUGCUAGAAAUAAGAACAGAAGGGCCAGUCAUGGUGGUUCACACCUAUAAUCCUAGCACUUUGGGAGGUGGAGGCAGGAGGAUUGCUUGAGCCCAGGAGUUCGGACCAUCCUGGGCAAAAUGGGGAGACCCCCGUCUCUACAAAAAAAAAAAAAAAUACAAAACAUAAAAAAUUAGCCAGUCAUGAUGGCACACACCUGUAGUCCCAGCUACUUGGGAGGCUGAGGUGGGAGGAUCACUUGGACCCAGGAGGUCAAGGCGGCAGUGAGCCAAGAUCAUGCCACUGCACUGAAGCCCGGGUGACAGAGCAAGACCUGGUCAAAAAAAAAAAAAAAAAAAAAAAAAAACCCUAAAAAAAAAAAAGGAAAGAAAGAAAGAAAAAAGAACAGAAGAAUGGAGCAAUAGCUGGAGGGCAAAGUGGGUCAAGGCCGGCUUUGUAUGGUGGUAUUUACACAGGAUCUGUUUGCAGCUGAUGGGAGGGAUGCCACAAAAGAGACAGCCCUGAGGAAGUGGGAGGGGACCAGAGCCUUGUGUUCAUAGGUAGGUCCCAGAGCUGGGACUACAGCAAGGCAAGCAAGUGUAAAAUUUAGGAGGCACUCAUUCUCAGGUGCCGACUCUCUACUGGUAUGACCCUGGGGAUGAGUGCCUCUUUAACCUUUAUGCCCUGGGUGCCUUGCUGGCCUGUUUCAUCCUAGUCCUGGCCCUGGCAGGCCCAUCUACAAUGCUAGGAGGGAGGGCAGACCUUGCUGCAGGGUGUUGGGAAACUUGGCCUUGGGAGCAGAUGGAGAUCUCUCCUGACAGCAUCCAUACCUGAAGGCGGAAGGCAGGAUUGCCGGCGGAGAAGAGAUCCAGGUGCCUUGAUGUGAGUGUUGACGGUGGAAAGCAGGCCAGAGCCAGCUCCGGGUGCCAGCUGGAGCCCCAGAAGAGGAUCAGGCAUCGUGUUUAGUCACAACCCCCACUCCUUCAUUGGGCCAGCAAAUAUCUAUCCAUCUUCCCACCGUCUACUCGCAGCCAACCAUGUUCCUGACACUGAAGCCAGAGGUGAGUCCUGCCCUCCAUUGGGGUGGGAGCCUCCUAAGCCAGCAGGGGGAUGGACGCCCCGACUUGAGGGAGAUGCCGCCAUCAAGAACAGGGUUCCAUGGCUCUGGUUCCAAGCCUCAUUUCCUUCCCUUCCUUCCGCCCCUCCCCUCCGCUCCCUCUCCCCUCUCCUCCUCCUCUCCUCUUCCCCCUCCCCGCCCUCCUUCCCUCCCUUCCUUCCCUCUUUUUCUUCUAUCUUUUUUCUUUCUUUCUUUCUCUUUUUCUUUAAGACAGGGUCUUGCUCUAUAGCCCAGGCUAGAGUGCAGUGGAACAAUCAGAGCUCACUGCAGCGUCGACAUCCUGGGCUCAUGUGAUCUUCUCACCUCAGCCUUCCAAGUAGU